rnacentral:lncRNA from 1 species
GGCCCCUCUCACUCGGACCUUGCUGCUAAUUUGGGUUUUUUAAAGUUUUUUUCUUCCCCUGUUGGAAAACACUAGAAACAGCGGGAGGCCCUGUGUCUUUUUUAAAUUUUUUUAUUAUUAUUUUUUAAGAUUUAUUUAUUCAUGAGAGGCCCUUCGGGGCCGGGGAGGAAACCUCUCAGAGCGGCCCCCUGGCUUCUCUACGGUCCGCCUCUGGGCCUGCGCCUCUGCUGUGCCCACGGCCUGGCUGCCUUUCCUCUCCGUCUCCCCACAUCCUCCUCCUGUGGGUCAGGCUUCCCCCGGACGCCGGGGCCCGCGGGGAUUCUGGAUUAUUAAAUACACAGCACGGUUCUCCGGGUGAGAAAUGAGCCGGUUCCCAGCCUCUUGGACACCCUCUGAGGAUGCAGCGGAGGGAGCCUCCGCGGGGGACGAGGAGCUUCUAACCCCUUCGUCGUCUCCCCCUCGGCCUCUUGAAAAGCAGAGCGACGCGGCGACACCUCCCUACAUGGAACGGCCCGUGUUUUGUUUCCAUCCUGUGUGUUUUGCCGCCCACCUUCCAUCGGUGACAGGUGCGAGCGGCUCUCCAUUUCCAGGAGGGAGGCAGAGACUGUUUUUAAAUACACUGACUGGAGGAGACGUGAGUCAGUUGGAAGGCAAAAUACUAAAUAAAUCGUGGAACAGGUGGGGCGCCGCCUUUCCCAAUGACUUUUGGGAAGCGCCAGGCUCUUCCAGGAAGUCCUCCGGGAUUGCCCCGGGCCCAGCCUUAGAGGUGUCGGCUUUGGUGCCUAAGGCCUCGCCCUCCCUCCUGCCUUCCGUGAGCGCCCCCCACCCCAGGUGUUCAUCUCCCAAGGGUGACCUGGAACAGGGGGCCUGGGUCUGGGGGCCACAGUCCCACCAGCUGUGCCUGCACCCGGAGGAGAGCUCCGGGCCGGCGGCAGAGCUGAGAUGGGGCAGGAGUGGGGGGCAGGUGCCUCCCUGCCAGCUGGGCUUGCCUCCCGCUGCUGCUGCUGUUGCUGCUGCUGCCGCCGUUGUCAUGGUUACCAAGCAAGCCUUCUCUCCCCCCCCUCCAGCCCCUCACCCUCGGACUGGGCCCUGUCGGGGCACCAAGGCUCC